rnacentral:rRNA from 1 species
GAUGAACGCUGGCGGCGUGCCUAAUACAUGCAAGUCGAGCGAAUGGAUUAAGAGCUUGCUCUUAUGAAGUUAGCGGCGGACGGGUGAGUAACACGUGGGUAACCUGCCCAUAAGACUGGGAUAACUCCGGGAAACCGGGGCUAAUACCGGAUAACAUUUUGAACCGCAUGGUUCGAAAUUGAAAGGCGGCUUCGGCUGUCACCUAUGGAUGGACCCGCGUCGCAUUAGCUAGUUGGUGAGGUAACGGCUAACCAAGGCAACGAUGCGUAGCCGACCUGAGGGGGUGAUCGGCAACACUGGGACUGGAACACGGCCCAGACUCCUACGGGAGGCAGCAGUAGGGAAUCUUCCGCAAUGGACGAAAGUCUGACGGAGCAACGCCGCGUGAGUGAUGAAGGCUUUCGGGUCGUAAAACUCUGUUGUUAGGGAAGAACAAGUGCUAGUUGAAUAAGCUGGCACCUUGACGGUACCUAACCAGAAAGCCACGGCUAACUACGUGCCAGCCGCCGCGGUAA